AUUGAACGCUGGCGGCAUGCCUUACACAUUCAAGUCGAACGGCAGCACGGGGCAACCUGGUGGCGAGUGGCGAACGGGUGAGUAAUGCAUCGGAACGUACCUUUCAGUGGGGGAUAACGUAGCGAAAGUUACGCUAAUACCGCAUAUUCGGUGAGCAGGAAAGCAGGGGAUCGCAAGACCUUGCGCUGAUUGAGCGGCCGAUGUCAGAUUAGCUAGUUGGUGAGGUAAAGGCUCACCAAGGCGACGAUCGGAAGCGGGUCUGAGAGGAUUAUCCGCAACACUGGAACUGAGACACGGUCCAGACUCCUACGGGAGGCAGCAGUGGGGAAUUUUGGACAAUGGGGGCAACCCUGAUGCAGCCAGGCCGCGUGAGUGAAGAAGGCCUUCGGGUUGUAAAGCUCUGUCGGCCGGGAAGAAAUCGCACGGGCUAAUACCCUGUGUGGAUGACGGUACCGGAAUAAGAAGCACCGGCUAACUACGUGCCAGCAGCCGCCGUAAGAC
rnacentral:rRNA from 1 species